CUACUAGGAAUGAUUGACACAGUUUUCGAAGUUCACGAAGUCUGCUAACGUAUAGAUUUCUUGUCGGUGGGUGUUGCAUUGCUAACGACAAAGUGAGUUUUGGACUAUCAGUUUGACUGGCAACUUCAGGAUUGAAACUUUUAAAUAGAGUCAACGGAUUGAUUUCAAAAUCCAAAUGAUUGUCGGCUACUAAAACCUUGUGAAUGCGGCCGAGAAUAGUUUUCCAAAGCUUCACUUCACGAACGUCCCCACGAUAUCCAGUGAACAGUAAUUUCCAGACACAGUCAUCAGAAAGUAGAUCCUGAGAUGAAUUAACUAAAGCUGCUUCUAGCUUAAUGACUUGGGAAAUGAAUCUCAAAAGUAGUACUUCUUCUCGUCGGUUAGAGCCAUGGCCGAAAAUUUGCAAAACUAAAUAAACAGCAUGACGGAUCUUUACAGAGGAAGUGCCCUCAGUUUUUAGCGCUUGAAAAUAAUUUGCUAAGUACAUUUCGUUGGUUUGUAACACAUAGAAAAAACACUGAUAAAGUUCCAAAAAU